rnacentral:lncRNA from 1 species
UGAUAGAAUACCAUAUCACAUUGCUCUGCUCUCAAAUUAACCUUGCUUUCCUUCAUCACUCAAGAUUCUUCAUGGCUCGUUUAAUCGCAUUACCACUCAUUCUCAUUCUUCUAUCGCUUAGCCACGGUUCAUCAGAUGCUAGGAAGAUUCCAUGCCCAGAGAAGGGUAACGUCCUCCUUCCGGAAAACUUGGUGUUGAAUGUGCUUCCUAGGGGCCCAGCACCGCCGUCCUCUCCUAGUGGUGGGGGUAAUCCAAUUCCAAUUCUUGCUGGGACCGGGACAAUUCUGGGAUCACAUCCAAGUCAUGGAGAAGGAAAUUAGAGGCAUUGCCUCUCGUGUUUAUUCGGAAAAUAAAUACUCUAUGAAUACUUGCUUUCUAAUUGUUACUCCUUGGUUACUUUCAAGGCAUAUAUCACCACAAUAUAUGCUACUUUGUACGUCUUCUUAUCCACGAAGUGUAUGAUUGUAUAAUAUUUAAAUUAAAACUCAUUAUGGAGUCAUCAAUAAAAUAUCCACCAUAUGAUGUGGAUAAAUUGUUCGUGUAAAUGAUAUAAUUAAGAUAAAUAUUAGUAACCUCAAUAUCCAGGAGUUUGC